rnacentral:rRNA from 1 species
CCUACGGGUGGCAGCAGUGAGGAAUAUUGGUCAAUGGACGCGAGUCUGAACCAGCCAAGUAGCGUGAAGGAUGACUGCCCUAUGGGUUGUAAACUUCUUUUAUAAGGGAAUAAAAUGUUCCCCGUGUGGCUUUUUGUAUGUACCUUAUGAAUAAGGAUCGGCUAACUCCGUGCCAGCAGCCGCGGUAAUACGGAGGAUCCGAGCGUUAUCCGGAUUUAUUGGGUUUAAAGGGAGCGUAGGUGGAUUGUUAAGUCAGUUGUGAAAGUUUGCGGCUCAACCGUAAAAUUGCAGUUGAAACUGGCAGUCUUGAGUACAGUAGAGGUAGGCGGAAUUCGUGGUGUAGCGGUGAAAUGCUUAGAUAUCACGAAGAACUCCGAUUGCGAAGGCAGCCCACUGGACUGCAACUGACACUGAUGCUCGAAAGUGUGGGUAUCAAACAGGAUUAGAUACCCUGGUAGUC